UACGGGGGGGGCAAGCGUUGUUCGGAAUUACUGGGCGUAAAGGGCUCGUAGGCGGCCAACUAAGUCAGACGUGAAGUCCCUCGGCUUAACCGGGGAACUGCGUCUGAUACUGGAUGGCUUGAGGUUGGGAGAGGGAUGCGGAAUUCCAGGUGUAGCGGUGAAAUGCGUAGAUAUCUGGAGGAACACCGGUGGCGAAGGCGGCAUCCUGGACCAAUUCUGACGCUGAGGAGCGAAAGCUAGGGGAGCAAACAGG
rnacentral:rRNA from 1 species